rnacentral:rRNA from 1 species
UACAGAGGGUGCAAGCGUUGUUCGGAAUUACUGGGCGUAAAGGGCGCGUAGGCGGCUCUGAUCGUCGGAUGUGAAAGGCCUGGGCUCAACCUGGGAAUGGCAUCCGAUACGGCGGGGCUGGAGUGUGGGAGAGGUUGGUGGAAUUCCCAGUGUAGAGGUGAAAUUCGUAGAUAUUGGGAAGAACACCUGUGGCGAAAGCGGCUCACUGGACCACAACUGACGCUGAUGCACGAAAGCUAGGGGAGCAAACAGG